AUUAACGCUGGCGGCGUGCAUAACACAUGCCAGUCGAACGAUGAAGAUUAUUAGACUUCUUCGGAAUGAAAAUAAUUGGAUUAGUGGCGGACGGGUGAGUAACGCGUGAGUAACCUGCCUUACACAAGGGGAUAGCCGUUGGAAACGACGAAUAAUACCCUAUGAAACUAUCACUUCGCAUGAAGCGAUAGUCAAAGUGUUAGCGGUGUAAGAUGGACUUGCGUCUGAUUAGCUAGUUGGUGAGAAAAAAGCCCACCAAGGCAACGAUCAGUAGCCGGCUUGGGAGAGUGUACGGCCACAUUGGGACUGGGACACGGCCCAGACUCCGACGGGAGGCAGCAGUGGGGAAUUUUGCACAAUGGGGGAAACCCUGAUGCAGCGACGCCGCGUGAUUUAGAAGGCCUUCGGGUUGUAAAAAUCUUUUGUAUAGGAAGAAAAUGACAGUACUAUACGAAUAAGGUCCGGCUAAUUACGUG
rnacentral:rRNA from 1 species